AGCUGGCUCAAGAUUGCUGGACCCAGGCCAUAAACUACAGCUUUGGUCUGAAAAGGAUUGGGCCCAGGCUAGGGAAGAAUCCUGUCUGUGAAGUAUGCUUAUUGGAAUAUCUUGGAGGAGGCAGCCUUGGCAUCCCAGUCAUCCUUGUUAUCACCGGCUGAACGGCUGCACAGACUCAGGAAGCGGCCUCGACAAAGUAAAGAGGACCUGCUGCAUAACUGAGAACAGAAAAAUGCAGGAGUGGUGUGACAGCAAGAUGAGGGAAUGGAAGGAGAACACAGAGCAGCUUCUAAACAUCAUGGAGUGGCAAGCAGACUCGAUUUAGGCACUCGUAGAACUGCACACGGAGCAGCUUCGUGCCUGCCCUCCCUGUAGCCUGUGUCCCAAAACUCUUUCCCUUGCACCCCAUGUCACCGCCAACACAGUAGCUCAUAAUCUUUCUAAUGGUAUGUUACAUGGGGCAUUUAGAAUAAAGCAUAUUUCAGUUAUG